CCGGCGGUGGCCUGGUUCGCCGUGGCCGCGGCCCUGGGCGCCGCCCUGCUGUGGCAUGUGGGCCACUGGGCCGAGGGGCGCCGCCGCGCCGCCACC
rnacentral:tRNA from 1 species